GAUGCGUAACCGCAUUCUUGGUCUUGACAUUUAGAGGCAUAACUGCCUUUUCCUCUCGAGUACCUCACACCUAAUAAUUCCUAUUUACACCUCUUGAUUUGAAUUAAUGAAAUUUUAAUUAUUAAAAUAAUUUGGCUAAGGUGCGUAACCGCAUCCUUGAAUUUGGCCAAGGUGCGUAACCGCAUCCUUCAGUUUCUUAAGUAUC
rnacentral:lncRNA from 1 species